CCCUGGAUCAUCAUACUGCAGGGUGGUUCCUCGGUCGCGACCCCCACACUGGGGGUGGCCACGCCGAGCUCUCUCUCCUGUAUGGUGGCUGUCCUUCUCGAGCUCGUAUAGUCUCAGGGCCUCAUCCAAUUCCUGCUGCGAGGCGAUCCUGCACGGGUCGCCCUCGUCGUCCACCCACUUCAUCGUGAACUGCUCUGUACCGAAGCCGCAUAUCGUUCGCAUCUCCUCGCGCAGUGCGUCCACUGAAAUCCCGGGAGUGAUGUACGUGAUUUGUAUCUCCCUAAUGCAGGAAAAACGUCACGUCACACAUCUGUCUUAAAAUUUCUGUGUUCCUUUGAUUUGUGUAAUUCUUAUCAAUACUCUUUCUUUAAAUUAACCUUACAGAAACAAGGACACAAUCAGUUACUAACACUAGAUUUAAGAGAUUAAUUUAAAUUAAUUGUUGUCUAAGGCUUGUUUGCACCAAUAUAAUUUAACAUUCAAACUCACUGUCAACUUUUUUUAGUUCUUAGAUAGAAAGUAAGUUUAAACCAAGUUUAAAAGCUACACUACAAACAUAGAUCUAAAAAGCACUAAGUAAUUUCAAGGAAUCAUAUAUAGCUUGUAUAAAAGAGAAUAAAUAUUUCAUUUCAAUAACAAUAA